GAUGAAGAACGUAGCGAAAUGCGAUAAGUAAUGUGAAUUGCAGAAUUCAGUGAAUCAUCGAAUAUUUGAACGCACCUUGCGCCCCUUGGUUAUUCCAAAGGGCAUGCCUGUUUGAGUAUCAUGAACACCUCAACUCUUGUGGUUUCCCACAAUGAGCUUGGACUGUGGAGGUUUUGUUGGCCCUGUGGUCAGCUCCUCUCAAAUGGAUCAGCUUACCGGUGUUUGGUGGCAUUACGGGUGUGAUAACUAUCUACGCUCGUGGUCGUCUCCAAAUAACCUCCAGUGAUGGAGGUUCGCUGGAGCUUAUAAAUGUCUCUCCCCAGUGAAGACAGCCUUUGAACGUUCGAUCUCAAAUCAGGUAGGACUACCCGCUGAACUUAAGCAUAUCAAUAAGCGGAGGA
rnacentral:misc_RNA from 1 species